rnacentral:lncRNA from 1 species
CCAACACCCUCAGACAUGACCCUAAUCCACCAUCAACCCCUCCACCUACUACUCAAACAACAAAACAAAUCCCCAAGCUGACAACCUAAUGGACAAAUCAACCUUACAAAAAUAGUAAGAAAAGGCACGCCCAAAGAACACUAUCCGACCUAGCAGCUAAAAAAAAUACCACCAAAUUCUCCAAUAAGCACAACACCCAGUCACCAAUGUACUCACAGGAAGCAGGAAAUAAGAACUGAAAGAGACAAUAAACAAACAACAAGAAAUAAACAAG